GACGUAGGGCGCGAGCGUUGUCCGGAUUUAUUGGGCGUAAAGAGCGUGUAGGCGGCCUAGCAGGUCUGCUGUGAAAACUGGAGGCUUAACCUCGAGACGCCGAUGGAAACCGUCUGACUAGAGUCCGGAAGAGGAGAGUGGAAUUCCUGGUGUAGCGGUGAAAUGCGUAGAUAUCUGGAGGAACACCGGUGGCGAAGGCGGCACCCUGGGCCGGCACUGACGCUGAGGCGCGAAAGCCUGGGGAGCGAACAGG
rnacentral:rRNA from 1 species